rnacentral:tRNA from 1 species
AACAAAGUGGCUGAGGAUAUAAGCAUUAGAUUGUAAAUCUAAAAACGGAAUUAUUCCCUUUGUUA